GAUGAACGCUGGCGGCGUGCCUAAUACAUGCAAGUCGAGCGAACGGACGAGAGGCUUGCUUCUCUGAUGUUAGCGGCGGACGGGUGAGUAACACGUGGAUAACCUACCUAUAAGACUGGGGUAACUUCGGGAAACCGGAGCUAAUACCGGAUAAUAUUUUGAACCGCAUGGUUCAAAAGUGAAAGACGGUCUUGCUGUCACUUAUAGAUGGAUCCGCGCUGCAUUAGCUAGUUGGUAAGGUAACGGCUUACCAAGGCAACGAUGCAUAGCCGACCUGAGAGGGUGAUCGGCCACACUGGAACUGAGACACGGUCCAGACUCCUACGGGAGGCAGCAGUAGGGAAUCUUCCGCAAUGGGCGAAAGCCUGACGGAGCAACGCCGCGUGAGUGAUGAAGGUCUUCGGAUCGUAAAACUCUGUUAUUAGGGAAGAACAUAUGUGUAAGUAACUGUGCACAUCUUGACGGUACCUAAUCAGAAAGCCACGGCUAACUACGUG
rnacentral:rRNA from 1 species